rnacentral:tRNA from 1 species
AGACUCUUAGUUUAAUGGGAGAACAGUACCUUGACAUGGUACAGACACAAGUUCAAUUCUUGUAGAGUCUACCA